rnacentral:rRNA from 1 species
UCAGAUUGAACGCUGGCGGCAGGCCUAACACAUGCAAGUCGAACGGUAACAGGAAGCAGCUUGCUGUUUCGCUGACGAGUGGCGGACGGGUGAGUAAUGUCUGGGAAACUGCCUGAUGGAGGGGGAUAACUACUGGAAACGGUAGCUAAUACCGCAUAACGUCGCAAGACCAAAGAGGGGGACCUUCGGGCCUCUUGCCAUCGGAUGUGCCCAGAUGGGAUUAGCUAGUAGGUGGGGUAACGGCUCACCUAGGCGACGAUCCCUAGCUGGUCUGAGAGGAUGACCAGCCACACUGGAACUGAGACACGGUCCAGACUCCUACGGGAGGCAGCAGUGGGGAAUAUUGCACAAUGGGCGCAAGCCUGAUGCAGCCAUGCCGCGUGUAUGAAGAAGGCCUUCGGGUUGUAAAGUACUUUCAGCGGGGAGGAAGGGAGUAAAGUUAAUACCUUUGCUCAUUGACGUUACCCGCAGAAGAAGCACCGGCUAACUCCGUGCCAGCAGCCGCGGUAAUACGGAGGGUGCAAGCGUUAAUCGGAAUUACUGGGCGUAAAGCGCACGCAGGCGGUUUGUUAAGUCAGA